AGUGAACGCUGGCGGUAGGCCUAACACAUGCAAGUCGAACGGCAGCACAGUAAGAGCUUGCUCUUACGGGUGGCGAGUGGCGGACGGGUGAGGAAUACAUCGGAAUCUACUUUUUCGUGGGGGAAAACGUAGGGAAACUUACGCUAAUACCGCAUACGACCUACGGGUGAAAGCAGGGGAUCUUCGGACCUUGCGCGAUUGAAUGAGCCGAUGUCGGAUUAGCUAGUUGGCGGGGUAAAGGCCCACCAAGGCGACGAUCCGUAGCUGGUCUGAGAGGAUGAUCAGCAACACUGGAACUGAGACACGGUCCAGACUCCUACGGGAGGCAGCAGUGGGGAAUAUUGGACAAUGGGCGCAAGCCUGAUCCAGCCAUACUGCGUGGGUGAAGAAGGCCUUCGGGUUGUAAAGCCCUUUUGUUGGGAAAGAAAAGCAGCAGGUUAAUACCCCGCUGUUCUGACGGUACCCAAAGAAUAAGCACCGGCUAACUUCGUG
rnacentral:rRNA from 1 species